GGCUGUGCGAAGUUGCUGGAUAUUAGAGGGAACUAGAUCACCGUCAUACGUCAAUGCAGAAAAUCCCAAACAUGCUCACAUGUCUGGUGACUAUGCAGGCCAUGGAAGAACUGGAACAUUUUCAGCUUUCAGGAAUUGUAUACAGAUCCUUGCGACAUGGGGCCAUGCAUUAUCAUGCUGAAAGAUUUCUUCAUCUGUAGCUUAUGCCUGCCUAUACCAUAACCCCACUGCCACAAUGGAUCACUCGGUUUACAAUGCUGACGGCUUGUAAGUAAGCAUUUCACUGUAAGGUCUACACCUGUUGUAUUCGGCGCAUGUGACAAAUAACAUUUGAUUCGAUUUGACGUCAGCAAACCGCUCACCAACAAAGCUUUACACGCUGUCUGCCAUCUGCCCAGUACAGUUGAAACCGGGAUUUAUCCUUGAAGAGCACACUUUUCCAGCAUGCCAGUGGCCAUCGAAGGUACCUCUCCACGGGACUUUCCACACUGCCAGAGCCAGAAGCACACCAGGACAGAUAAAAUAAUGAGAGGCAUAGCAUAUUUAGCAGGUCUGAGUCUACUUAUUCAGUUUGGUGAGAAUGUGGAUCCUUACCUGUGCACCCACCUGGUCUACACUUUUGCCAUCAUGAAUUAUGCUAAUGAGCUCAUCACCUACGAGUGGAACGACAAGACCCUCUACAAGUCUUUCACCGCCUUGAAGACCAAGUAAUAGUUUCUGAUGAUGAAUACAAUUAAAUCAAUUUUGUAUCUAUUAAAAUGGUAAUUUGUUGCUCAUUUGGUAAAACACUACAUUUCUCUUUUUUACUAGGCAAGUCAGUUAAGAACAAAUUCUUAUUUACAAUGACGGCCUACUGGGGAACAGCGG
rnacentral:lncRNA from 1 species